AUUGAACGCUGGCGGCAGGCCUAAUACAUGCAAGUCGAACGAGUGGCGGACGGGUGAGUAAUGUCUGGGAAACUGCCUGAUGGAGGGGGAUAACUACUGGAACCGGUAGCUAAUACCGCAUACCAUCAGAUGUGCCCAGAGGGCAUUAGCUAGUGGGUGGGGUAACGGAUCACCAAGGAGACGAUCCCUAGCUGGUCUGAGAGGAUGACCAGCAACACUGGACCUGAGCCACGGUCCAGACUCCUACGGGAGGAAGCAGUGGGGAAUAUUGCACAAUGGGCGAAAGCCUGAUACAGCCAGGCCGCGUGUAUGAAGAGGGCCUUCGGGUUGUAAAGUACUUUCAGCGUGGAGGCGUUACCCGCAGAGGAAGCACCGGCUAACUCCGUGCCAGCAGCCGCGGUAAUAC
rnacentral:rRNA from 1 species